rnacentral:rRNA from 1 species
GACGUAGGAGGCGAGCGUUAUCCGGAUUCACUGGGCGUAAAGCGUAUGUAGGCGGCUCGACAAGUCGUGUGUGUAAGCCCCCGGCUCAACCGGGGGAGGUCAUGCGAGACUGUCGGACUUGAGGGCAGCAGAGGAGCGUGGAACUCCCGGUGUAGCGGUGGAAUGCGUAGAGAUCGGGAAGAACACCAGUGGCGAAGGCGGCGCUCUGGGCUGCAACUGACGCUGAGAUGCGAAAGUGUGGGGAGCAAACGGG